rnacentral:lncRNA from 1 species
CCACAGACUUGUCUACACGUCCUCAGGCUGGAGAGAACAUCAAGGAGGGAAUUUUAUGACUGCAAAUCGGUCUUUCCAAAAUAAUAUUCCUAAUGACAGCUACUGUUUACGGAGUGCUUCCUCUGCGUGCCGGGCCUGCACUUGCUGAGCACCGUGCAUCCGGCAACUCAAACGUGUUCUUCUCAAGACAGUGGCAGAGUGCAAGAGCGCGAGUGGGAAUAAGCAAGUGCCUUUCAAGCCUGUUUGCAUCAUGUCUGCUCACACCCAGUUGUCCCAAUAAGUCAGAUGUCUGGGCCCCUUCUAGGGCACCACAAGGUUACAGGACAAGGGCAGUUAAUGCAAUCAACCUACUGUAGCUCUCAGAAACUGGGGCAGCAGAGGAUGCCUGGGAAAGCCCUAUCAUUUGUUCUAGUCCACCCAGAAGUCUGCCUUGUCCAAGGAUAGCAUAUCCAUCCGUCCAUCUAUUCAAACAUUUGUGGGGACUGACUUUAGCCUAACAGCUUCAGAGGACAUGGGAACAGAAAGAAUUGGGUCCUACUCUAAGGGAG